GGGGCGUGGUCAAGCGAGCUGUCUAGCACGUGCAGACAAUGCACUAUCAUCAAUACAAACCAAACAUCCGAACGCAUGAAAGUUUUGCGCUUUUGGAUUAUAAGGACUAAACGGGAUCAAGCCUCAAUGGACUUUCACGUGUUUUAGAUAAAACUCUUCGAGGAUAACUUCCUGGCAUAGAAAGAAGAGUUGAACAUACAGUAAAAGUGAAAGGCAUACAGAUUUGGAACAACAUGAGGUUGGAGUUCAGCGGCAAAGAGCAUCAAGGAAGCAUUACCACAUCACUCACAGUUCAGCUGUCCGGCAUAGCCCUGACCUCCUGAACCUUGACUUUACCUGACCUCUCUUCAGACUCUGUUUAACCAGCUCAGCGUCUCUCAGUAUCAGAUCUAGAGGGAGAGAGAGAGGGGAGCGAUCGAGGAGACGCAUCAGGAUACCAGCCUGCCUGGAGCUGCACCCAAACAUCAAGGGAGUCUGGCUUACACCAGCUCUAAAUCUAUACUGGCCAAGGCAGAUUUUUGUGCUGGUGUAAUGAUCAACCAGUACACCAGCAUCCUAUGAUGGUCAACCAGUACACCAGCAUCCCAUGAUGGUCAACCAGUACACCAGCAUCCCAUGAUGGUCAACCAGUACAUCAGCAUGCCAUGUUGGUCAACCAGUACAUCAGCAUGCCAUGAUGGUCAACCAGUACACCAGCAUCCCAUGAUGGUCAACCAGUACAUCAGCAUACCCUGAUGGUCUGCCAGUACACCGGUAUACUGUGAUUGUCAACCAGUACACUAGCAUCCUAUGAUAAUUAACCAGUAUACCAAC